rnacentral:snRNA from 1 species
GAGAUCGUACUUCUAGGGAUCAGUCCUAUAGUACGUAUCACCAGGACGUCAACAACAACUACAGCAACAACAACAACAUCAUCAGCAUCAUCAUCGUUUUGU